GCAGACUCACUCUGUGCCUGACUGCAAUCUUCAGUCCAGGGGCUUUUUCAGUCUGCUAGAGUAAUGGUCCAGGGUGUUGAACUCUUCUUUCCUUGUAGAAGACUUGCAGUUGCUCCUGGGACAUAAUU
ensembl:snoRNA